GCUUUCUGCCUUCUGAACAACUGGCUUACCAAGGAAAAAUAAGUCACAUGUCAGAGUCUACUGCCCUCAUGCAAUGGAAAGUGAGUGAGAGCAGCAAGUCUGUGAGCAUUGUUCAUGCCAGGCAAGAGCCGUUCAUUUGGGAGCCAAGCAGAUGCCACUGUCAGUGAGAAGUGUCUGUUUUGCUGAGGGUUCUGUGAACAGCCCAUCUGACUCCAGGAGAAGGUUGGAUCGAGGAGGAUGACUCCAGAUGUUUGCAGAGGAAUUGUCCAGGAGCCCUCGCCGGAGGAGAAUAUGUAGAAGUGGAUCUGAGAAGCCUGGACAUCCGUCUAAGGAGACAUGAAUAGUCCUCGGAUUUCUGCAUAACAGGCUGUUCCUCAUCUGUACUUGCUGUAGUUUUCUUCAUAGGCCGUGUGCUUCCUCCUUGGGUACGGGGCUCUGUGGCUGCGGAGGGGCCAGAAUCUGCUCUGCAGAGUGACUAUGUUGGGUGCCAUUAAGAGGGCCAAUGCAGAGAGGAGAAAAGGGGCCUGAACCCUGAUUACAGGGUGGUCACCCUUUCUUUAGUAAAAUAUUCCUCCUUUAAACUCGCUGUGUGCAGGGGGCGGGAAGUCCCCAAUGUGAAAAGAUCUGGAAAUGAACAGGUAAGGGAGGGAUCCUCCUGAGUGUCUCCUUUCCGAUCAAUCCUCCAUCUCUCAGCGACACUCUUCCGGACUUACCUUCCUAUCUCACCAAGAAAAUAACUUGGUGCUCCCUAACCUUUACCAGAAAAGACCCCUCGUCCUUGUGACGCAGUCCUGUUAGUAGGGUUAGGUGCACCCACGUGCUGGCUCUGAAUACCACCGCAUGUGAUUACAACACCUGAACAUCAACACAUUUCAGAAAGGACCGCCACAUCCCUUCGGACGUAGCCCUAGGAAUCUCCUCUGUCUAUCUCCAAAGAGACACAAGGCCUGGAAUUUGGACACAGCUGAGGGAGCUGUCCGAAUGUCUACAGUUGAACACUCAUCAGUGCGAUGGUGUCUUUCUUGUGCACAAGAAAACAAAGGGUCAAAGUUGUGGUUGGUUGAGCGGUGUAAAUUGGGCAGGGCAAAAGGACUUGAGGAAGGAUGAGGUGGAAGUGAGGGUCUGAAAGAAGCCCCCCACCUCACCUGUUCAUUUCCAGACGGUGUGACAUUUGCAUGGUUGGGCCAUUUCUUGGCUUUUUUGAGAAAAGGGGCAAAUUUUCCCACGGCUUGCACCAUCCUCCACAGCUGCCCCUUCGCCACACUAUGUUGCAUCUGACCUGGAUAGGUCGCAAGUAAGAUUUCACUUCAAAUCUCAAAGUCCAGUAGAAAUAAUUGUGGGGGAAUUUCCUGUCACUAAGAGAAACGGAAGCUCAAGCCUUCUCAAGGGGUGGGGUGUCGCUCAGCCACAGGCACAAAAAGG